UAACGCGUGAGGAACCUGCCUCAAAGAGGGGGACAACAGUUGGAAACGACUGCUAAUGCCGCAUAAGCCCACAGCUCGGCAUCGAGCAGAGGGAAAAGGAGUGAUCCGCUUUGAGAUGGCCUCGCGUCCGAUUAGCUAGUUGGUGAGGUAAUGGCCCACCAAGGCGACGAUCGGUAGCCGGACUGAGAGGUUGAACGGCCACAUUGGGACUGAGACACGGCCCAG
rnacentral:rRNA from 1 species